GACACCCACUCAAAUGAUGCGGCGUAAGAAUGGUAACAAGCAUUUUUUCAAUUAUGGGCCACUUACACCCAAUAAGAAGUGACUCGGUUCUGAACAAUAGAAUACGACAAAGAUGAUGGAUGUCCCAAAGAGACUCUGCUUUUGCCUUGCUGUGUUCCCAUGCUCUUCUCAGGCUCUGAGGAAAAGCCAGCUACCCUAUGGAGAAGCCCACAUGGAGAGGAACCGGGGUCUCCAGCCUAUAGCCCCUGAGGCCCUGAGGUCUGCCAAUAGCCAUGUGAGCUCGCCUGGUUGCGGAUCUUAGCCUGGUUGAGCCCUGAGACCCCUGCAGCCCUGGCUACAAUCUUGAGGAGAUUCUGAGUCACAGGCACCAAGAGGAAACCAGCUAAGCUGUGCCCAGAUUUCUGACCAAUAGAAAUUGCACAGGUCUUGAAGACACUUAAGAAGCCCUCUGAGCAAGUGUAAAUAUUGAUGAACCUGUGUUUGCGGCCUGAUAACAGCCAGCACCGCCUUAACAGGCAGGAGAAUGAGAAUGAAAGCAGAUCAUCCGAGACUUCAGCUGACUGUCUCUCGACUGCAUCUUGGCUGCAAUGUCCUGAGCAGCCUGGAGCCAAAGCCACCAGAUCAAGCUUCUUCUGAAUUUCUGACUGAUGGA